rnacentral:lncRNA from 1 species
AACCUCUGAAAUCCCACCUUCUAUAACCAGGACCUCACAACCUUCACCAAUUUUAAAUAUCGCCCAUACAUUCAUACCUCCUUCUGAACCUGAACAAAUGAACCAAAGCACUUCCUCUUCAUCAUCUUCAGAACCAGAAUCACCCCCAUACCUUCAAAUCUCCUCUGACCAAGAAUACUCUGACCCUGACUCCCCAACCUUAGCCCAAAUUCAGGCUCAAAACCUUGCUUCACAACAACCAACACAAACACAAUCUGAAGCA